rnacentral:rRNA from 1 species
GACGAACGCUGGCGGCGUGCUUAACACAUGCAAGUCGAACGAAGCAUCUGUGAUUGAGACUUCGGUUAAUUGAUUGGAUGACUUAGUGGCGGACGGGUGAGUAACGCGUGGGUAACCUGCCGUGUACAGGGGGACAACAGUUGGAAACGACUGCUAAUACCGCAUAAGCGCACAGUGCCGCAUGGUACGGUGUGAAAAGCCGAGACGGUAUACGAUGGACCCGCGCCUGAUUAGCUAGUUGGUGAGGUAACGGCCCACCAAGGCGACGAUCAGUAGCCGACCUGAGAGGGUGACCGGCCACAUUGGGACUGAGACACGGCCCAA